rnacentral:rRNA from 1 species
AUGCAAUGCAUUGGGCCAUCACUUGAUGGUUUCGCCUACUUGUCUGCAUCGGAUACUAGGGGUGGUAUUCUCUUGGGAUGGGAUAGCUCGUUCUUGGUGAUCAGUAACAUCACUCGGGAUACUAACUUCCUCUCGGGUCUGGUUCGUAACAAAGAUGGCUUCGAAUGGUGCUUGUCGGCAGUGUAUGGACCCCAAGGGGAUGAGCUAAAAACUCAGUUCCUCGUGGAACUCCAGCUUAGAAGGGACGUGUUUCCGGGGCCCUGGAUGGUGCUUGGCGACUUUAAUAUGAUCAUUAGAGCUGAGGAGAAGAGCAAUUCGAACCUUUAUAGGGGCAUGAUGAGGAAGUUUAAGUCGUUCGUGGAUAACAACGAGCUCAAAGAUAUGUGCAUGGAAGGCGCUUCACAUGGUCCAACGAAAGAGAACAGGUGGUUAUGA